GGAGGUGUAACCCUAAUUGGUAAGGGAGUGGUCUUGAAAACCACCAGUAGUCGGUAACACGGCGUGCGGGUUCGAGUCCUGCCACCUCCG
rnacentral:tRNA from 1 species